GAUUCCUAUUUUAUGAUUCCAUAUAUGUUUCCAUAACUCUCUUACUUCAGUUAGAAGUUCAUGAUUCUUAAAAACUUCUUAUGAUACUUAAGAUGAGAUGUUUUCUAUGAUGAACAUGAUAAUGAAGAUCUUAAUUCUAGAAAUUCCAAAGUUUAUGAUUUUAAUGCUAUUAUGAGAUUAUUGAGCUUAUUUCAUGGCUUUCUCGAUUUUAUUCAUUGUUGUUGAUCUCACCUUAUAAUAAUUGUUCCUUCAAGGUGGGAUAAAUGAUGAUGACUGAUCCAUAAUAUAAUCGGAGGCUAACGACCUUACGUCACUCCGAUAUAGUUAUGGCUUUUGAUUGGGCUCUCAUUCAUGCUUUAUAUAUAUGUAUGUAUUUUCUCACACCGCGCCGCGCUAUAGUCGGCCGGGCAUGGCACGUAGAUGUGCACACCACUGCAGUGGGCAUGUUAUGAUAUUGCCCCAGACGCGGGAGGCCCGGACGCUAGCUAAUGAUGAUAACACCGAGCCUUAAUGGCCAGGCAUGAUACUAUAUAUAUGACACCGAGCCUUAAUGGCUGGGCAUGAUACUAUAUACAUGACAUCGAGCCUUAAUGGCCGACAUGGUACUAUAUAUAUGUAUAAGAAUUUUUUUUUAAAGGCUAAGCAUGCAUGACACCGCCCUAUGAGGCAUCCAGAUGUACAGGUUAUCUCUCAUAUUCCAUGUUAUCUAUAUCUAUAUUAUGUUGUUAUGCAUGCCUUACAUACUCAGUACAUUAUUCGUACUGACGUCCCUUCUUGUGGACGCCGCUCAUGCCCGCAGGUAGGCAGGGAGACGGAUCAGACCCGUAGGUGUUCUAUCAGCAAAUUCUCAGUAGCACUCCACCUAUUUCAGAGUUGCAGUCUAUUUGGUAUUGUCCUUAUGAUCAUUUGUGUUCUAUGUAGAGGCUCGUAGACGUGUGUGUAUAGUUAGAUGUUUUAUAGCUCCACCGGUUCAUAUUGUUGUAUAAUAUAUUGGUGGCCUUAUCGGCCUUAUUUUGAGCUCUUGAUACUUUACUGUUAGCCUUGCAGGCUUUAUGAUAUACGUUAUGUUGUGGCGACCUUGUCGGUCCGCAUAUGUACAUAUGUGCUGAAUGAGCGGAUAUUCCUAUUUUGGGCCUUUUCUACGUGCAGGUGUUCUUUGAGUUAUGGUUUAUAAUGUUCAAAGUAACGGAUAAGUCAGGUGGUUCCCGGCCUACGGGUCGGAGCCCGUCAUACUCCUGGUAGGGGUGUGACAGUUUCCUGUGAAUUCGACCCGGCUCAUAGUUGGGUUUUUUAUAUUGCGACGAUCGUGUACACUUUCCCUUGGAGGGGUAGAUUUGGACGUUAUCAUGCCCAUUUGUCGCGUCCUUUCAAACAAAAGCUUUACGAGUUCCAAUUCUAAUAGCAGUAAAGGUAGAGAAUAAAUCAAUAGAGGAGAAGAAGCUUAUCGUCUUUGAGAAAAAUCCGAAGAGUACUAUUAGGAUGAUUCAGGGUGGAGAAUCACAAAAGGUGGUGUUCAGAUGGAGACAAGCCAACAAAGGGUGGAGAAAAGUAUCGAGUAAUUAUAGUAAUGUUGGCAAGUUUAAGGAUUAAAGCAAAUGGUACAAUGAAAACAAGAACUGGUAUGUCAGUAAACAGAGAUGAAUCUGGAUGUGCAGUUUUUGCAGGUCAACUAUGAGGAAUUCAAGUCAGUGUGUUACUUUCUGAAUGUACAUGUUCUCCCUUUUUCCAUUUUUAUAAAAGGGCUGAAGGUCGUCUCUGUAGCUUUAGUUGUACCAAUGCCACAAUUAGGAAUCCGCGACUUUUGUAGCACAAAAACAAAGUUGAACUAAACUAACACAAAAAACAAAAAAAACAAAAAAAUUAGUAGGUUUCAGCACUAAAUUAGUGUGUGAAAGGACCAAACUGC